GGACCCGCACAAGUAGUGGAGCAUGUGGUUUAAUUCGAAGAUACGCGCAGAACCUUACCAACACUUGACAUGUUCGUCGCGACUUUAAGAGAUUAAAGUUUUCGGUUCGGCCGGACGAAACACAGGUGCUGCAUGGCUGUCGUCAGCUCGUGUCGUGAGAUGUUGGGUUAAGUCCCGCAACGAGCGCAACCCUCACUUUUAGUUGCCAUCAUUUAGUUGGGCACUCUGAAAGAACUGCCAGUGAUAAGCUGGAGGAAGGUGGGGAUGACGUCAAGUCCUCAUGGCCCUUACGUGUUGGGCUACACACGUGCUACAAUGGUAUCUACAACAGGAAGCAAGACUGCGAGGUCAAGCAAAUCCUUAAAAGAUACCUCAGUUCGGAUUGCACUCUGCAACUCGAGUGCAUGAAGCUGGAAUUACUAGUAAUCGU
rnacentral:rRNA from 1 species